AUUGGUGAAGGUGCAGCCUCAGUAGCUGUUGAAGGCCAGAUAGACUGAAGGAGUCAUGAAGAGAAACCGAGGCUCGGCAUCAUGAAUAAAUCCUAGGACAUUGGUAAAAGCACAGCCCAGUUGCAGUCAAAGAUCCCAGCAUUGUGGAGAUGCCAGUACCUUGGCAUGAUCACCAAGAGCAGCAGUGGCCAUAGAAUGGCGCCUACCCGAGCUUAGAGGACAAGCUGUGUGUGCUACAGAGGAGCUGGAGAAGUGGCCCAAGCCCCUUGUAGGAGGCCAGAAGAUGGUUAGUGAAUCCCAGGUGGCGCCACCUCUGUUUGUAAACUCCAAUCCAGAGCUGUAGUUGUUUCUCCUUUUGGCCCUACACUGUAGAACCAAAGCCGUGCCCAACAGAAGUAGCCUCACCCUGAGUGUCUGAAGCCAGUAUACACGUGAUGAAAAACUUGAUCAUCGAGAUCCAUGAUAAUGACAUCUCAAGAACCAAAAGCUAGCUGAGAGAUUCUGAGACAAAGGAGGAGGAACAGUCUCUCUUCUUGCUAUAUCAUAGAACCUCAGUGAGGAACGUGAUCCAGCUCAGGAUAGCUCAUCUUGGCACUCCUCACUGCAACGGGGGCCUCGUCCUGGUCUAUCAGUCUAUCACUUUUUCAUGACAAAUGGGUCCCUUCACAAACUCACUAUGACCUAAACCCAUAGUAUAUCCCACAGAGUAAUUAUCAAUAAAUUUCCACAUUUAAAAAAA
rnacentral:lncRNA from 1 species